GAUGAACGCUGGCGGCGUGCCUAAUACAUGCAAGUCGAGCGAACAGACGAGGAGCUUGCUCCUCUGACGUUAGCGGCGGACGGGUGAGUAACACGUGGAUAACCUACCUAUAAGACUGGGAUAACUUCGGGAAACCGGAGCUAAUACCGGAUAAUAUAUUGAACCGCAUGGUUCAAUAGUGAAAGACGGUUUUGCUGUCACUUAUAGAUGGAUCCCCGCCGCAUUAGCUAGUUGGUAAGGUAACGGCUUACCAAGGCAACGAUGCGUAGCCGACCUGAGAGGGUGAUCGGCCACACUGGAACUGAGACACGGUCCAGACUCCUACGGGAGGCAGCAGUAGGGAAUCUUCGGCAAUGGGCGAAAGCCUGACGGAGCAACGCCGCGUGAGUGAUGAAGGUCUUCGGAUCGUAAAACUCUGUUAUUGGGGAAGAACAAAUGUGUAAGUAACUAUGCACGUCUUGACGGUACCUAAUCAGAAAGCCACGGCUAACUACGUG
rnacentral:rRNA from 1 species